AAUUGUAAGUCUUAUCUUCGUUAAGUGUUAAGUGGAAAUUUUAGGAAAACUAAUUUUCUUUUUUUUUAUGGAGUAGAUUUUGUCGAAAUAAUAAUGAAGGUGAAAGUAGAAAGUAUUGUGAAAGAAGGAAGAGUUAGUAAGGAAAAAUUAAAGAAAGUAAAUAUAAAAGAUUGUAUCUUGUGUAUAAUAGGUUUUCAAAAUUAAGUUUAUAAAUAUUGAUCCCGAAAAAGAGAUAGCUAAUUUAGAGAUGAAGUUUUUGUUGCAGAAAGAUUUCAAACUUUAUUUUAGAGGCGAAAUGUCAGUCGAGCUCUUUGAUAUCUGGUUUUCUGAGAAACAAAUUUAAUUUGUGUUCAUGGCUAAAUAGCUUGUGAAAGAGAGAAGAUAAGGGUAGAGCUUUUUCUUCGAGUAGGAACUGUUAUAGAACUUGAAUGAAUAGAUGUUUUAAAAAUAGGCUUAGUAGUGGCCGCUUUUUCUAGGUUUUUUAACCAAUAUAAAAGUGUAUAAAUAAUUUAUUAGUUCUUUAAUUUAGGUAUCGGAAAAUAAAUUUUAACUUAAAUUGUAUAGUUAUUAUGAAAUCAUUAGUAAAAUUUAGGUGUUAAAGAGAAUUUUUUUAUAAAUAAGGUUUAUAUGGAUUUGAAGGUUUGUUUAAGGAACUCGGCAAAGAUUGUCUCCGCCUGUUUAACAAAAACAUGUCUUUGUGAAGAUUUACAAAGUCUGGCCUGCCCACUGAUUAAUUAAAGGGCCGCGGUAUUUCUGACCGUGCGAAGGUAGCAUAAUCAUUAGUCUUUUAAUUGAAGGCUUGUAUGAAAGGUCGAACGAGUGAUAAGCUGUCUCGAAAAAAAUGUUGAAUUUAACUUUAAAGUGAAAAGGCUUUAAUGCUCUAGAAAGACGAUAAGACCCUAUAAAUCUUUACAUUUAAUUUUGUAUCAGGUUAGUUUGUUAGUGAAAGAAGAGGUACAAGAAGAAGUGUUUUGUUGGGGCAACAGAGAUAUAAUUAACUAAUUGUUUUAUAUUAAAAACAGAUAUUUUUGAUAGUAAAUGAUCCUUUUUAAAGAUUAAGAGAUUAAGUUACUUUAGGGAUAACAGCGUUAUUUUUCUUGAGAGUCCUCAUCGAAAGAAAAGUUUGCGACCUCGAUGUUGAAUUAAAAUUUCUUUAUAGUGCAGCAGUUAUAAAAGAGAGUCUGUUCGACUUUUAAAAUUUUACAUGAUUUGAGUUCAGACCGGCGUGAGCCAGGUCGGUUUCUAUCUUCUAGAGGAAGUAAAGCUGCCUUAGUACGAAAGGAUUAGGUAGUUGAAAUAGUUUUAUUUUAUUGAAUAUCAUAUCUUGCCUAGACUUAUUUUUGUGAUUCUGUUGGAAGGAAAA
rnacentral:rRNA from 1 species